rnacentral:rRNA from 1 species
UUAAGCGACUAAGCGUACACGGUGGAUGCCCUGGCAGUCAGAGGCGAUGAAGGACGUGCUAAUCUGCGAAAAGCGUCGGUAAGGUGAUAUGAACCGUUAUAACCGGCGAUGUCCGAAUGGGGAAACCCAGUGUGAUUCGUCACACUAUCGUUAACUGAAUACAUAGGUUAACGAGGCGAACCGGGGGAACUGAAACAUCUAAGUACCCCGAGGAAAAGAAAUCAACCGAGAUUCCCCCAGUAGCGGCGAGCGAACGGGGAGCAGCCCAGAGUCUGAAUCAGCUUGUGUGUUAGUGGAACGGUCUGGAAAGUCCGACGGUACAGGGUGAUAGUCCCGUACACCAAAAUGCACAGGCUGUGAACUCGAAGAGUAGGGCGGGACACGUGGUAUCCUGUCUGAAUAUGGGGGGACCAUCCUCCAAGGCUAAAUACUCCUGACUGACCGAUAGUGAACCAGUACCGUGAGGGAAAGGCGAAAAGAACCCCGGCGAGGGGAGUGAAAAAGAACCUGAAACCGUGUACGUACAAGCAGUGGGAGCACCUUCGGGUGUGACUGCGUACCUUUUGUAUAAUGGGUCAGCGACUUAUAUUCUGUAGCAAGGUUAACCGUAUAGGGGAGCCGCAGGGAAACCGAGUCUUAACUGGGCGUUAAGUUGCAGGGUAUAGACCCGAAACCCGGUGAUCUAGCCAUGGGCAGGUUGAAGGUUGGGUAACACUAACUGGAGGACCGAACCGACUAAUGUUGAAAAAUUAGCGGAUGACUUGUGGCUGGGGGUGAAAGGCCAAUCAAACCGGGAGAUAGCUGGUUCUCCCCGAAAGCUAUUUAGGUAGCGCCUCGUGAACUCAUCUUCGGGGGUAGAGCACUGUUUCGGCUAGGGGGUCAUCCCGACUUACCAACCCGAUGCAAACUACGAAUACCGAAGAAUGUUAUCACGGGAGACACACGGCGGGUGCUAACGUCCGUCGUGAAGAGGGAAACAACCCAGACCGCCAGCUAAGGUCCCAAAGUCAUGGUUAAGUGGGAAACGAUGUGGGAAGGCACAGACAGCCAGGAUGUUGGCUUAGAAGCAGCCAUCAUUUAAAGAAAGCGUAAUAGCUCACUGGUCGAGUCGGCCUGCGCGGAAGAUGUAACGGGGCUAAACCAUGCACCGAAGCUGCGGCAGCGACACUAUGUGUUGUUGGGUAGGGGAGCGUUCUGUAAGCCUGCGAAGGUGUGCUGUGAGGCAUGCUGGAGGUAUCAGAAGUGCGAAUGCUGACAUAAGUAACGAUAAAGCGGGUGAAAAGCCCGCUCGCCGGAAGACCAAGGGUUCCUGUCCAACGUUAAUCGGGGCAGGGUGAGUCGACCCCUAAGGCGAGGCCGAAAGGCGUAGUCGAUGGGAAACAGGUUAAUAUUCCUGUACUUGGUGUUACUGCGAAGGGGGGACGGAGAAGGCUAUGUUAGCCGGGCGACGGUUGUCCCGGUUUAAGCAUGUAGGCUGAUUGUCCAGGCAAAUCCGGAUAAUCAAGGCUGAGGUGUGAUGACGAGGCACUACGGUGCUGAAGUAACAAAUGCCCUGCUUCCAGGAAAAGCCUCUAAGCAUCAGGUAACAUUAAAUCGUACCCCAAACCGACACAGGUGGUCAGGUAGAGAAUACCAAGGCGCUUGAGAGAACUCGGGUGAAGGAACUAGGCAAAAUGGUGCCGUAACUUCGGGAGAAGGCACGCUGGUGUGUAGGUGAAGUCCCUGCGGAUGGAGCUGAGACCAGUCGAAGAUACCAGCUGGCUGCAACUGUUUAUUAAAAACACAGCACUGUGCAAACACGAAAGUGGACGUAUACGGUGUGACGCCUGCCCGGUGCCGGAAGGUUAAUUGAUGGGGUUAUCCGUAAGGAGAAGCUCUUGAUCGAAGCCCCGGUAAACGGCGGCCGUAACUAUAACGGUCCUAAGGUAGCGAAAUUCCUUGUCGGGUAAGUUCCGACCUGCACGAAUGGCGUAAUGAUGGCCAGGCUGUCUCCACCCGAGACUCAGUGAAAUUGAACUCGCUGUGAAGAUGCAGUGUACCCGCGGCAAGACGGAAAGACCCCGUGAACCUUUACUAUAGCUUGACACUGAACAUUGAGCCUUGAUGUGUAGGAUAGGUGGGAGGCUUUGAAGCGUGGACGCCAGUCUGCGUGGAGCCAACCUUGAAAUACCACCCUUUAAUGUUUGAUGUUCUAACGUUGGCCCCUGACCGGGGUUGCGGACAGUGUCUGGUGGGUAGUUUGACUGGGGCGGUCUCCUCCCAAAGCGUAACGGAGGAGCACGAAGGUUAGCUAAUCCUGGUCGGACAUCAGGAGGUUAGUGCAAUGGCAUAAGCUAGCUUGACUGCGAGCGUGACGGCGCGAGCAGGUGCGAAAGCAGGUCAUAGUGAUCCGGUGGUUCUGAAUGGAAGGGCCAUCGCUCAACGGAUAAAAGGUACUCCGGGGAUAACAGGCUGAUACCGCCCAAGAGUUCAUAUCGACGGCGGUGUUUGGCACCUCGAUGUCGGCUCAUCACAUCCUGGGGCUGAAGUAGGUCCCAAGGGUAUGGCUGUUCGCCAUUUAAAGUGGUACGCGAGCUGGGUUUAGAACGUCGUGAGACAGUUCGGUCCCUAUCUGCCGUGGGCGCUGGAGAAUUGAGGGGGGCUGCUCCUAGUACGAGAGGACCGGAGUGGACGCAUCACUGGUGUUCGGGUUGUCAUGCCAAUGGCACUGCCCGGUAGCUAAAUGCGGAAGAGAUAAGUGCUGAAAGCAUCUAAGCACGAAACUUGCCCCGAGAUGAGUUCUCCCUGAGACUUUAAGUCUCCUGAAGGAACGUUGAAGACGACGACGUUGAUAGGCCGGGUGUGUAAGCGCAGCGAUGCGUUGAGCUAACCGGUACUAAUGAACCGUGAGGCUUAACCUU